rnacentral:rRNA from 1 species
UGAAUACGAGAUGCUACGGCGUCGAAGCAGUGUAUGUCAGACUUCCAAGAAAAGCUCGCAAUGUCAUAAAUAAAGAAUGCCUGUACCAUAACCGACACAGGUGGGUAGGUAGAGUAUACUAAGGGGCGCGAGAUAACUCUCUCUAAGGAACUCGGCAAAAUAACUCCGUAACUUCGGGAGAAGGAGUGCCUUCUAUUAGAAGGUUGCAAUAACAAGAUCCAAGCAACUGUUUAUCAAAAACACAGGUCUCCGCUAAGUCGUAAGACGAUGUAUGGGGGCUGACGCCUGCCCAGUGCCAGAAGGUUAAAGAAGUUGGUUAGCUUUGGCGAAGCUGAUGACUGAAGCCCUGGUGAACGGCGGCCGUAACAAUAACGGUCCUAAGGUAGCGAAAUUCCUUGUCGGGUAAGUUCCGACCCGCACGAAAGGCGUAAUGAUUUGGAUACUGUCUCGGAGAGGGACUCGGUGAAAUAGACUUGUCUGUGAAGAUGCGGACUACCUGCACCAGGACAGAAAGACCCUAUGAAGCUUUACUGUAACUUGAAAUUGAAAUUGGACUUUAUUUGCGCAGCAUAGGUGGAAGGCGUUGAGAUUACUCUUGCGGGAGUACUGGAGCCAUCAGUGAGAUACCACUCCUAUAAUGUUAGAUUUCUAACUUUGGAUCAUGAUCUGGUCAAAGAACAGUUUCAGGCGGGCAGUUUGACUGGGGCGGUCGCCUCCCAAAUGGUAACGGAGGCGUACAAAGGUUUCCUCUGAACGGGUAGAAAUCGUAUCUAGAGUGUAAAGGCAUAAGGAAGCUUGACUGUGAGACCUACAAGUCGAGCAGGGACGAAAGUCGGUCUUAGUGAUCUGACGGUGCUGAGUGGAAAGGCCGUCACUCAACGGAUAAAAGUUACUCUAGGAUAACAGGCUGAUCUCCCCCAAGAGUUCACAUCGACGGGGAGGUUUGGCACCUCGAUGUCGGCUCAUCGCAUCCUGGGGCGGUAGUACGUCCCAAGGGUUGGGCUGUUCGCCCAUGAAAGCGGUACGCGAGCUGGGUUCAGAACGUCGUGAGACAGUUCGGUCCAUAUCCGGUGUAGGCGUUAGAAUAUUGAGAGGAGCCUUCUUUAGUACGAGAGGACCGAGAAGGACAUACCUCUGGUGUACCAGUUAUCGUGCCAACGGUAAACGCUGGGUAGCUAUGUAUGGAGAGGAUAACCGCUGAAAGCAUCUAAGUGGGAAGCCCACCUCAAGAUGAGUAUUCUCA